UACGAAGGGGGCUAGCGUUGCUCGGAAUCACUGGGCGUAAAGGGUGCGUAGGCGGGUCUUUAAGUCGGGGGUGAAAUCCUGGAGCUCAACUCCAGAACUGCCUUUGAUACUGAAGAUCUUGAGUUCGGGAGAGGUGAGUGGAACUGCGAGUGUAGAGGUGAAAUUCGUAGAUAUUAGGAAGAACACCAGUGGCGAAGGCGGCUCACUGGCCCGGUACUGACGCUGAGGCGCGAAAGCGUGGGGAGCAAACAGG
rnacentral:rRNA from 1 species